GAUGAACGCUGGCGGCGUGCCUAAUACAUGCAAGUCGAGCGAACGGACGAGAAGCUUGCUUCUCUGAUGUUAGCGGCGGACGGGUGAGUAACACGUGGAUAACUUACCUAUAAGACUGGGAUAACUUCGGGAAACCGUAGCUAAUACCGGAUAAUAUUUUGAACCGCAUGGUUCAAAAGUGAAAGACGGUCUUGCUGUCACUUAUAGAUGGAUCCGCGCUGCAUUAGCUAGUUGGUAAGGUAACGGCUUACCAAGGCAACGAUGCAUAGCCGACCUGAGAGGGUGAUCGGCCACACUGGAACUGAGACACGGUCCAGACUCCUACGGGAGGCAGCAGUAGGGAAUCUUCCGCAAUGGGCGAAGGCCUGACGGAGCAACGCCGCGUGAGUGAUGAAGGUCUUCGGAUCGUAAAACUCUGUUAUUAGGGAAGAACAUAUGUGUAAGUAACUGUGCACAUCUUGACGGUACCUAAUCAGAAAGCCACGGCUAACUACGUG
rnacentral:rRNA from 1 species